UACGUAGGGGGCAAGCGUUGUCCGGAUUUAUUGGGCGUAAAGAGCGUGUAGGCGGCCAGGUAGGUGGGUUGUGAAAACUGGAGGCUCAACCUUCAGACGUCGACCCAAACCCCCUGGCUAGAGUCCGGAAGAGGAGAGUGGAAUUCCUGGUGUAGCGGUGAAUGCGCAGAUAUCAGGAGAACACCGGUGGCGAAGGCGGGGAUCCUGGGCCAGUACUGACGCUGAGGAGCGAAAAGCGUGGGGGAGCAAACAGG
rnacentral:rRNA from 1 species